UGGGACCGUCGUAAGGCGUUUGCUGCGCGAGCCACGUAUCGAAACCGACCGCUCCGCGCGCCGAUGCACGCAACGCAGGAUCGAUCCGGUAGGUGGCAACGAUUUCCGGCGGCGGCGGCACGCUGAGCAUCGUGACACCCGCAGGAACCACGCCAUCGAGCCCAUGCAACAGAUCGCUGUGACCGAUCAGAACGCGCGCACCGGAAUCGC
rnacentral:misc_RNA from 1 species